GAUGAACGCUAGCGGCAGGCCUAAUACAUGCAAGUCGAGGGGUAGUGGUUGCUUGCAGCCAUGAGACCGGCGCACGGGUGCGUAACGCGUAUGCAACCUACCUUCAUCUGGGGGAUAGCCCGGAGAAAUCCGGAUUAAUACCGCAUAAAAUCACAGUACGGCAUCGUACAAUGAUCAAACAUUUAUGGGAUGGAGAUGGGCAUGCGUGUCAUUAGUUAGUUGGCGGGGUAACGGCCCACCAAGACCGCGAUGACUAGGGGAUCUGAGAGGAGGACCCCCCACACUGGUAAUGAGACACGGACCAGACUCCUACGGGAGGCAGCAGUAAGGAAUAUUGGUCAAUGGGCGCAAGCCUGAACCAGCCAUGCCGCGUGCAGGAAGACGGCCCUCUGGGUUGUAAACUGCUUUUAUCCGGGAAUAAACCUGCUUACGUGUAAGUAGCUGAAUGUACCGAAGGAAUAAGGAUCGGCUAACUCCGUGCCAGCAGCCGCGGUAAAAC
rnacentral:rRNA from 1 species